UGUAAUGCGUUGAAGGAGACCGAUAACCCUACUAUCAUAUGAUUAUAGGGAGGAAUGCCAUAGACUGGAAGCAUUUCAUCAUAUUGGAAGUUAUCAUUUCACUCUGGAGCAGAUACUUGGACCUUGUAAACAAGUAAAGGUAUUCCGGAUCGAUUCCGUUAUCAGGAAGAAGUUGAGCACAUUCUGCGUAGUUUCUAGGGAUGUGUUAAAUAGGGUGGUACCGCGAAGACAAAGCCUCGUCCCUUGU
rnacentral:ncRNA from 1 species